AUUGAACGCUGGCGGCAGGCCUAACACAUGCAAGUCGAGCGGCAGCGGGAAAGUAGCUUGCUACUUUUGCCGGCGAGCGGCGGACGGGUGAGUAAUGCCUGGGAAAUUGCCCAGUCGAGGGGGAUAACAGUUGGAAACGACUGCUAAUACCGCAUACGCCCUACGGGGGAAAGCAGGGGACCUUCGGGCCUUGCGCGAUUGGAUAUGCCCAGGUGGGAUUAGCUAGUUGGUGAGGUAAUGGCUCACCAAGGCGACGAUCCCUAGCUGGUCUGAGAGGAUGAUCAGCCACACUGGAACUGAGACACGGUCCAGACUCCUACGGGAGGCAGCAGUGGGGAAUAUUGCACAAUGGGGGAAACCCUGAUGCAGCCAUGCCGCGUGUGUGAAGAAGGCCUUCGGGUUGUAAAGCACUUUUAGCGAGGAGGAAAGGUCAGUAGCUAAUAUCUGCUGACUGUGACGUUACUCGCAGAAGAAGCACCGGCUAACUCCGUGCCAGCCGCCGCAGUAACAC
rnacentral:rRNA from 1 species